GUGUCUGUGUGUGUGUGUGUGUGUGUGUGUGUGUGUGUGUGUGUGUGUCUUUCUGUGUUUCUGUGUGUUUAAGCAUUUAUGUGUGUGUGUGUGUGUGUGUGUGUGUGUGUGUGUGUGUGUGUGUGUGUGUGUGUGUGUGUCUGUGUGUGUGUGUGCGUGUGUGUUUGGGUAUGUGUCUGUGUGCAUGUGUUUGUGUGUGUGUGUGUACUAGGGAUGGGCAAAAUGAUUCUUUUCCGGGAACUAGUUCUUUCAGUUCAGUUCACUAUAACGAUUCGUUUAUUUGAUUCGUUCGUUUUGAUUCGUUCGUUACGUCAGAUUACAUCUUAAAAAAAAUUAAAAAUAAAAAAACUUUUUUUUAUAAUUUCUUUUUUUUUUAAAUUGGUCGUGGGUCCGGAUAGGACCGUCAAGACCGCAGUCCGCCGUUUGGAGAUGCCUGCUAUAUAGUAUGUUGAACGUCCCACCGAUAUUUAUACCACUUGCUUACUCUCUAUAUUUCAUUCAUGGUUUUACAUUUAUAAUUUUAUUUUACUUUACAUUUAAUUCUUCAUUGUUCAGGCAUUACAGAACUUGCAUGGUCAUAAAUAAAAAAUACGAACUGCAGUUUAAUUUCUUUGUUCUUAAAUUGACGUAGAAUGGAGCAAAGACUCCUGGGAUUGGGAAAUGCGUUUAUCCAAUAAACAGAUGGAGGUCAAGUCUAUUUUCGAAAAAAUGUAGGGGGAUAUAUGAGUCGAAUGGUAUGACCCAAGAUACGUCAGACAGAGAAAGCGCGCAUAUUCGACGGUACCGCCUUGUCAUUGGUUUACCCAGGUGCCAUUCCAACACCAUUGCUACCUCUCAUUGGCUGAAUCUUUGAGAAAGUUGUAGACUCAAUCAAUGGAAGUCGCGGGGAGACGGAGCUCUGUUCGUUUGUAUAUUUUAUUUACGUGACCAUAUGUUUGGUUUAUGUUAAAAAAAAAGAAUCAAAGAACCAGUUCUUCUUGUUUUGGGGAACCAGUUCUUGUCGUUCACGUUCGGGAUUCGUUCGUUG